GGGGUGCUAGCUCAAUUGGCAGAGCUGCGGACUUUUAAUCCGUAGGUUCGGGGUUCGAGUCCCCGGCGCCCCACCA
rnacentral:tRNA from 1 species